rnacentral:rRNA from 1 species
AUGGGAUUCCUUAAGUAAUUGCGAAUGAACAAGGAAAUGCUCAGCUUGAAAAAUGGGGCCUUUGGCUUUGAAUUGUAAUUUUGAAAUGUAUUGCCAAUGGAGGCGCAGGUGCAAGCCUAUUGAAAGAAAGCGUCAAUGAGGGUGAGAUUCCUUUUUGUCAUUUGCAGUCCUCCGUGCACGGUAUAUAUUUGACGAGUCACACUCCUCGGCAUUGGAAUGCAAAGUGGGUGGUAAAUUCCAUGUAAAGGUAAAUAUAUUAUUGAGACUGAUAGCAAACAAGUACCAUGAGGGAAAUAUGAAAAGGACUUUGAAAAGAGAAUUAAAAGAGUCUGCAUUUGCUGAACAGAAAGCAAACAGAAUUGAUUUUACUUGGUGAGAUUGUUGUGCUUACUCUAUCAUUUAUAUGGUUGAUGUGGGUGCGAUGGUUCUUACCUUGAAUGUCAGCUUCUAUUUCUGCAAAUCAUUACCCUUGCACAUGAAUGGUAAUUUGCCUGCGGGUAUUGGAAUGCAUGUGUUUGCAAUGAUUUGUGAUUUGACGCAUGUGUUUGGUGAAAUUUGUAUAUGCUCUUUUGUCGAAGGGGAAAGCUUACUUUUUUGAGCAUUGCAAGCCCUUACACAUCAGUGCUGGCAAAAUGUUUCUGCUUGACCCGUCUUGAAACACGGACCAAGGAGUCUAACAGAUGUGCAAGUUCGUGGGUGGCAAACCUUUUUGCGCAAUGAAAGUAUUGGCUGGGAUACUUGCACCAGCAGCCGACCAAUUAGCAGACAGAGGUUUGAGUUUGAGCAUAUCUAUUAGGACCCGAAAGAUGGUGAACUAUGCCUGAACAGAAUGAAUUCAGAGGAAACUCUGAUGGAGGUUCGUAUCGAUACUGACGUGCAAAUCGUUCGUCAUACUUGGGUAUAGGGGCGAAAGACUAAUCGAACCAUCUAGUAGCUGGUUCCCUCCGAAGUUUCCCUCAGGAUAGCUGGAGUUGCACAGUUUUAUCAGGUAAAGCGAAUGAUUAGAGGAAUUGGGGACACGCUGUCCUUGACCUAUUCUCAAACUUUAAAUGGGUAAGAUGCAAUGGUUGCUUUAUUGAACUUUUGGAAUAAAUGGCAAUAUCAGGUGGGCCAUUUUUGGUAAGCAGAACUGGCGAUGAGGGAUGAACCUAACGUUGGGUUAAGGUGCUUAAUUGCUUGCUCAUUAGAUACCAGAAAGGGUGUUGGUUCAUUUUAACAGCAGGACGGUGGUCAUGGAAGUCGAAAUCCGCUAAGGAGUGUGUAACAACUCACCUGCCGAAUGGACUAGCCCCGAAAAUGGAUGGCGCUCAAKCGGGUGACCGAUACCCAACCACNGNNNCNAAUAGUGUCAGUGUGUAGGAGGGCAUGGCGGUUUGUGAUGCAGCCUUUG